rnacentral:rRNA from 1 species
CCUGACUGCUAUCGGAUUGAUACUAAGCCAUGCGAGUCUUUGCAGUAAUGCAAGGCAUACGGCUCAGUAACACGUAGUCAACUUACCCUAUGGACGAGGAUAAUCUCGGGAAACUGAGCAUAAUACUCGAUAGAUCAUAAUGCCUGGAAUGGUUUAUGGUUGAAAUGAUUCGUCGCCAUAGGAUGGGACUGCGGCCUAUCAGCUUGUUGGUGAGGUAAUGGCCCACCAAGGCGAUUACAGGUACGGGCUCUGAGAGGAGAAGCCCGGAGAUGGGUACUGAGACAAGGACCCAGGCCCUAUGGGGCGCAGCAGGCGAGAAAACUUUGCAAUGUGCGAAAGCACGACAAGGUUAAUCCGAGUGAUUUCUGCUAAAGAAAUCUUUUGCAAGUCAUAAAACCACUAGUGAAUAAGGGGUGGGCAAGUUCUGGUGUCAGCCGCCGCGGUAAAACCAGCACCUCAAGUGGUCAGGAGGAUUAUUGGGCCUAAAGCAUCCGUAGCCGGCUCUGUAAGUUUUCGGUUAAAUCCAUGUGCUCAACGCAUGGGCUGCCGAAAAUACUGCAUAGCUAGGGAGUGGGAGAGGUAGACGGUACUCGGUAGGAAGGGGUAAAAUCCUUUGAUCUAUCGAUGACCACCUGUGGCGAAGGCGGUCUACCAGAACACGUUCGACGGUGAGGGAUGAAAGCUGGGGGAGCAAACCGGAUUAGAUACCCGGGUAGUCCCAGCUGUAAACGAUGCAGACUCGAUGAUGCAUUGGCAUAUAGCCAGUGCAGUGUCGCAGGGAAGCCGUUAAGUCUGCCGCCUGGGAAGUACGUACGCAAGUAUGAAACUUAAAGGAAUUGGCGGGGGAGCACGACCAAGGGGUGAAGCCUGCGGUUC